AUUACUCAGCUAGUGAUUUAAAAUGUUUGCGUUUUUGUCCCAUUUCAUCAGUGAGAAACCACAACAGGCAUCGUGUGAGCUUCCAUGCUGUACAUUUAUUGACACACACGUGUCUUCAGCCAGAUCACUGAGAGUCUGUCAAAGGUCCCCGUCCAGCAGCAGGAGAUGUUUGCUGCCCCCCACUCCGUCACAGAGACGGCAGGAGUCUGAGUGACAACCAGCUUGUCUGGAACUCCUGUAGAAACACAGAUACAUGAUGACAGUUGAGUCGGUCUGUUGAAAUUCUUCCAGAUUUUACAUAUUACAGUUUCCCCAUGGACGCUAAGCAGUUAAAGGUUCCUGAACUCUUGUUUUUUGAGUAUGUUUGUCUUCUGUUAAACCUUAAAUUAUCUUAGCCAUGCGUUGCUCUGUAUACAAGACAUGCAUUAGCUCCUGUCUAUGCCUAGCCUAGCCUUAGCAUCUGUCCAUGUCUAGCCUAACCUUAGCAUCUGUCCAUGUCUAGCCUAGCCUUAGCAUCUGUCCAUGUCUAGCUUAGCCUUAGCAUCUGUCCAUGCCUAGCCUAGCCUUAGCAUCUGUCCAUGUCUAGCUUAGCCUUAGCAUCUGUCCAUGUCUAGCCUAGCCUUUGCAUCUGUCCAUGUCUAGCCUAGCCUCAGCAUCUGUCCAUGUCUAGCCUAACCUUAGCAUCUGUCCAUAUCUAGCUUAGCCUUAGCAUCUGUCCAUGUCUAGCCUAGCCUUAGCAUCUGUCCAUGCCUAGCUUAGCCUUAGCAUCUGUCCAUGUCUAGCCUAGCCUCAGCAUCUGUCCAUGUCUAGCCUAGCCUUAGCAUCUGUCCAUGUCUAGCUUAGCCUUAGCAUCUGUCCAUGUCUAGCCUAGCCUUAACAUCUGUCCAUGUCUAGCUUAGCCUUAGCAUCUGUCCAUGUCAUGCCUAGCUUCAUUUGUUCAUGUCGUGCCUUUGCCUCGUUUGUUCAUGUCGUGCCUUAGCUUGCUAGUUAUUUAGUUUUGUUUAUUCAGUAUACUAUUCACUUAGUGCUUUCGUCCUCCUGGUUUAUCUUAGUUUAUUUUUGAAGGCGUGUUUUGUGUUCAACUUUGGAUUAAAGAGACUGCCUUUUCCAUUA